rnacentral:rRNA from 1 species
UACGGGGGGGGGCAAGCGUUGUUCGGAAUUACUGGGCGUAAAGGGCUCGUAGGCGGCCAACUAAGUCAGACGUGAAAUCCCUCGGCUUAACCGGGGAACUGCGUCUGAUACUGGAUGGCUUGGAAUCCGGGGAGAGGGAUGCGGAAUUCCAGGUGUAGCGGUAGAAAUGCGUAGAUAUCUGGAGGAACACCGAUGGCGAAGGCAGGUCUCUGGGCCGAUACUGACGCUGAGGAGCGAAAGCGUGGGGAGCGAACAGG